AUGGUUAAGUGACUAAGCGUACACGGUGGAUGCCUUGGCAGUCAGAGGCGAUGAAGGACGUAUUAACUUGCGAUAAGCCUAGUUUAGAUAGUAAAAAUCACUUGAGACUAGGAUUUCCGAAUGGGGAAACCCAGCUGCAUAAGCAGUUAUCAUAACGUGAAUACAUAGCGUUAUGAGGCGAACCGGGGGAACUGAAACAUCUAAGUACCCCGAGGAAGAGAAAUCAAUUGAGAUUCCGGCAGUAGCGGCGAGCGAACCCGGAUUAGCCCUUAAGCGGCAUUAGCGUUAGGUGAAGGUACUGGAAAGUACAGCGAUACAGGGUGAUAGCCCCGUAACCGACAACGCUUUUACCGUGAAAUCGAGUAGGACGGGACACGUGAUAUCCUGUUUGAACAUGGGGGGACCAUCCUCCAAGGCUAAAUACUCCUGACUGACCGAUAGUGAACCAGUACCGUGAGGGAAAGGCGAAAAGAACCCCUGUGAGGGGAGUGAAAUAGAACCUGAAACCGUGUACGUACAAGCAGUAGGAGCCCACUUGUUGGGUGACUGCGUACCUUUUGUAUAAUGGGUCAGCGACUUAAUUUUAGUAGCAAGGUUAACCGUUUAGGGGAGCCGUAGGGAAACCGAGUCUUAACUGGGCGUACAGUUGCUAGGAUUAGACCCGAAACCAAGUGAUCUAGCCAUGGGCAGGUUGAAGGUGAGGUAACACUUACUGGAGGACCGAACCGACUAAUGUUGAAAAAUUAGCGGAUGACUUGUGGCUAGGGGUGAAAGGCCAAUCAAACUUGGAGAUAGCUGGUUCUCCCCGAAAGCUAUUUAGGUAGCGCCUCGGACGAUACUACUGGGGGUAGAGCACU
rnacentral:rRNA from 1 species